UACGGAGGGUGCAAACGUUGCUCGGAAUCAUUGGGCGUAAAGCGCACGUAGGCGGACCAUCAAGUCGGUUGUGAAAUCCCUCGGCUUGACCGAGGACGUGCAUUCGAAACUGAUGGCCUUGAGUACGAAAGAGGAUCGCGGAAUUCCCGGUGUAGAGGUGAAAUUCGUAGAUAUCGGGAGGAACACCAGUGGCGAAGGCGGCGAUCUGGGUCGAUACUGACGCUGAGGUGCGAAAGCGUGGGGAGCAAACAGG
rnacentral:rRNA from 1 species